rnacentral:lncRNA from 13 species
UCUUUUAUCAGAUAUAUGUAUUGCAAAUAUUUUCUUCAUUCUGUGACUCGACGAACGUCUUAUUACCUUCUGGCCUGAAACUCUGCAAGACCCUCAGUUCAGGCUUGUAGAUGACUUUAAAGCCAAGUAUGCGAGAGAUUCCAGUAGGUCUCCUUGCAAUAUAGUGUUGGGAUUGUCAUUUCAAUUAACAGACAUUCAAAGCGUGCCUUCUCUGGAUGCUGAGAACACAGAUAGAUAGAUGCCGUGCCUCCCCUGCAAGAGCUCUCUGUCAGGUUGAAAAUCAGACUUGUUAACAAAUACCAGAGUAGAGACCACAAAGCCUUUUUGCCUUGAGAAGUCCAGGAAAGCCUCACGGAAGAGAAAACAUUUGAAAAGAAGCCCACCAGAAGAACCUUGAAGAAAAGCCACUCUUCUCUGAGAAAGUAGAAUUUCAAAAGCCUGGGUGGACAGAAAGUUCACGGCCAGGGACUCCCUCUCUUGGGUGCAAUAACUUGGAUAGAUUGGGCCUCACCUUCAGACCUCAGUUACUCCACAGGAGCAUCUAGACAGCCAGGACCCUUCGUGUCCCAACCCAACGGUGAGUCCAACUCGUGUGCUCUGGAUUUGCGUUCAUCCAUAGCACAGUAGAUUUGAUGGUUAUUUUUCCUG